rnacentral:lncRNA from 1 species
UUUUAUCCUCACAACUACCCUGGAAGGGAGCUGCUAUCAUUAUCUCCAUUUUAUAGAUAAGGAAAGUGAUAAGAUUAAGGGACUUGCCCAGAGUUGCAUAGCUAAUAAGUUUCUGAAACUGAAUUUAAAAAUUUUUUAUUUUAAUUUUCCCCCCCAAGUUUGCAUGAUUCAUGUUUGUCUCCCUCCCUUCUUCCUUUCCCCCUCCCAGAGUUGACAAGUAAUUCCACUGGGUUAUAUGUGUAUUAUCACUCAAAACCUAUUUAUUUCCAUAUUAUUCAUUUUUGCAAUAGAGCAAUUUUUUAAAACCAAAACCCCAAAUCAUAUGCCCAUGUAAACAGGUGAUAAAUCACAUGUUCUUGUCUGCAUUUUUGAGACUGAAUUUUAAUUGAGAUCUUCCCAAUUCUUGGUCCAAGGUUCUUUGCACUGUCAACAGGCUAUUUUUUUUUAAUGUUUAAAGUACCUUUUCUGAUCAACAAUUCCUAAAAGAGUAAUACUGAAGUAAACAUACUACUUAAUCAGCAAAAACAAGAUAAUUCUUAUUAGCUAUACAGUUUAAUAUUAACAGAAGUUCAAGGCAAUAAGACUUUAUGGAAAAAGAACUAUGGUCAGGAGACUAGGGUCAUGAUCUCAGACAAAUCACUUAACAUUUUUUUCACCUGUACCAAAGGAGGUAAAAUAUCUUUUCUUCUUUUACUAGUGGUUGUCAAACAUUUUCACUGGUUAAAACUACUGAGUUCCCAUGCUAUCCCAAACUUCAACUCAUACCACCAUAUCUCCAUCCACAUCAGGGAUAUUAUCUUGAAACUAUUAACCACUCCAUGACAACCACUACAACAUCAGUCACCUGUUCUAUAACUUCAACCUGCCUUUUGAUAUUGCAAUGGCUCUUAAAAAUCUUCUCAGGAGUUAAUAAAGGGCAAUGCUCUGAGAGGAAGAGAAGACUGGCUCACUUUGUCACCAUCAACAGUUCAAUCCAACUAACAUUUAUAGAACACCGAACAAUGUUAAAUUCUGGGGAUAGGAAGACAAAAAUGAGGAUUUCUAGAUAUAAAUAAUUCUUCCUAUAUGAGAUGAAGAGAAUUUCUGCUGUCUUCCAAUUCAAGACUAUCGAAUCUCUUCAAAAGAGGGACAAGUUAUAAAUCUGCUCAAAAAUGAAAAACAAUAAAGAACUAAAAGUUAACCA